rnacentral:lncRNA from 1 species
CUGGCGGGAAAAAAUGGUAACAUCAUGAUAUGUCUGUUGAUUCAGAGAAAUGUUGUUUUAAGCCAUUACAAAAAAAAAGUAAAAUCUCAAAAAAUCGAACUCCGAUGAAAAUUCAAAACAAAAAGUCCCUAAUCAAAUGGCCAAAAAUCAAAAGCUCAAACACAUCAAACGAAUUGAUAACAACAGUCAUAUUCCUGACUUUGUACAUGCAUUUUCAUAUUUAGAAAAUGGUGGAUUAAAUCUGGUUUUAUAGCUUGCUCAGCUCACUUGUAUGACAGUCGCAUCAAAUUCCAUUAUAUUGACAACGAUGUGUGAACAAAACAAACAGACAUCUUUUGGAGAGUUGACUAAUAG